rnacentral:rRNA from 1 species
AAUCUUCCACAAUGGGCGCAAGCCUGAUGGAGCAACGCCGCGUGUGUGAUGAAGGCUUUCGGGUCGUAAAGCACUGUUGUAUGGGAAGAAAUGCUAAAAUAGGGAAUGAUUUUAGUUUGACGGUACCAUACCAGAAAGGGCCGGCUAAAUACGUUCCAGCAGCCGCGGUAAUACGUAUGUCCCGAGCGUUAUCCGGAUUUAUUGGGCGUAAAGCGAGCGCAGACGGUUGAUUAAGUCUGAUGUGAAAGCCCGGAGCUCAACUCCGGAAUGGCAUUGGAGACUGGUUAACUUGAGUGUUGUAGAGGUAAGUGGAACUCCAUGUGUAGCGGUGGAAUGCGUAGAUAUAUGGAAGAACACCAGUGGCGAAGGCGGCUUACUGGACAACAACUGACGUUGAGGCUCGAAAGUGUGGGUAGCAAACA